rnacentral:rRNA from 1 species
AUUGAACGCUGGCGGCAUGCCUUACACAUGCAAGUCGAACGGCAGCGCGGGGCAACCUGGCGGCGAGUGGCGAACGGGUGAGUAAUAUAUCGGAACGUACCCUGGAGUGGGGGAUAACGUAGCGAAAGUUACGCUAAUACCGCAUACGAUCUAAGGAUGAAAGCAGGGGACCGCAAGGCCUUGUGCUCCAGGAGCGGCCGAUAUCUGAUUAGCUAGUUGGUGGGGUAAAGGCCUACCAAGGCAUCGAUCAGUAGCUGGUCUGAGAGGACGACCAGCCACACUGGAACUGAGACACGGUCCAGACUCCUACGGGAGGCAGCAGUGGGGAAUUUUGGACAAUGGGCGCAAGCCUGAUCCAGCAAUGCCGCGUGAGUGAAGAAGGCCUUC